UACGUAGGGGGCGAGCGUUGUCCGGAUUUAUUGGGCGUAAAGAGCGUGUAGGCGGCCAGGUAGGUCCGUUGUGAAAACUCGAGGCUCAACCUCGAGACGUCGAUGGAAACCAUCUGGCUAGAGUCCGGAAGAGGAGAGUGGAAUUCCUGGUGUAGCGGUGAAAUGCGCAGAUAUCAGGAAGAACACCGACGGCGAAGGCAGGUCUCUGGGCCACUACUGACGCUGAGAAGCGAAAGCAUGGGGAGCGAACAGG
rnacentral:rRNA from 1 species